rnacentral:rRNA from 1 species
UACAGAGGGGGCAAGCGUUGUUCGGAAUUACUGGGCGUAAAGGGCGCGUAGGCGGCCUUCUAAGUCGAACGUGAAAUCCCCGGGCUCAACCCAGGAACUGCGUCCGAUACUGGAAGGCUUGAAUCCGGGAGAGGGAUGUGGAAUUCCAGGUGUAGCGGUGAAAUGCGUAGAUAUCUGGAGGAACACCGGUGGCGAAGGCGACAUCCUGGACCGGUAUUGACGCUGAGGCGCGAAAGCCAGGGGAGCAAACGGG